ensembl:rRNA 5S_rRNA 5S ribosomal RNA
GACUAAGACAUCCCACCCUAAAUGCCUCCAACAUUAUCAGGUCUUGGGAGCUAAGCAAGGUCAGAUCUGGUUAGUAUUUCAAUAGGAGACGUAAUGACUAUGCAGAACAGGCU